rnacentral:rRNA from 1 species
GACGAACGCUGGCGGCGUGCCUAAUACAUGCAAGUAGAACGCAGUUGCGAACGGGUGAGUAACGCGUAGGUAACUGCCUGGUAGAGGGGGAUAACUAUUGGAAACGAUCGCUAAUACCGCAUACUACCAGAUGGACCUGCGUUGUAUUAGCUAGUUGGUGGGGUAACGGCUUACCAAGCCGACGAUACCUAGCCGACCUGAGAGGGUGAUCGGCCACACUGGGACCGAGACACGGCCCAGACUCUUACGGGAGGCAGCAGUAGGGAAUCGUCGGCAAUGGACGGAAGUCUGACCGAGCAACGCCGCGUGAGUGAAGAAGGUUUGCGGGUCGUAAAGCUCUGUUGUAAGAGAAGCGGUAUCUUACCAGAAAGGGACGGCUAACGACGUGCCAGCAGCCGCGGUAAUAC